UGCGUAGGCGGUAUGUUAAGUCUGAGGUAAAAGUGCGGGGCUCAACCCCGUGAUGCCUUGGAUACUGGCAAACUAGAGUGUGGUAGAGGCAAGUGGAACUCCAUGUGUAGAGGUAAAAUUCGUAAAUAUAUGGAAGAACACCAGUGGCGAAGGCGGCUUGCUGGGCCAUUACUGACGCUGAGGCACGAAAGCGUGGGGAGCAAACA
rnacentral:rRNA from 1 species